rnacentral:rRNA from 1 species
NGAUGCGAUCAUACCAGCACUAAAGCAUCGGAUCCCAUCAAAACUCCGAAGUUAAGCGUGCGUGGGCGAGAGUAGUACUAGGAUGGGUGACCUCCUGGGAAGUCCUCGUGUUGCAUUCC